GACUCGAAAGAGCGGGAUUAUGUGAUCCAGGCAUAAUCAUCAAGAUCGUUGGCUAACGGUUAAAAUUAUCUUCUGCAUUCAAUAAAUUUUGUUUAAAUGCAAACCGUUCAAGGAAAUAUAGGUCAACAAUAUCCAAUGACGCUGUUCGAAGAUAACACGGAUCAUAACCUACAUCUCUGUGGAUUAGAUACAGAAAUCGUAAUGAUAAAUUUGUUUCUUGAUAACUUAUCUAGAGAUAAAUAGUGUCGACUAUGCAUAAUAACGUUGUAUUUCAACAACCACCUUCAGAGACAAACAUAUCUUAUUUUCGUUUUGUUAUCUCAUUAAAUAUCUUCGGUUUAGUAUUUAUCAACAGAAUUGAUUUUAUGACUGGUUUUUGUUGUUUUAAGUUUUAAAUCGUCGCUGGAUGUUUCUUUGUUUGAAGGGUUAUUUAGUCCAACCAUCUAUUGAUUGAGCCCGUCACUAGGGGUAUCGGCGCAACACCAAUCCUCACUUCAGCUUUAGGUAUGGCGCCUCGUCAAGACCUUAUAUCCCCGCCGCCGGUAUCCCUUUCUGGAGGCACCAGGGCUCCGCCGCCGCCUCGUCCGGGUCGUCUCCAGAGACCACCACACGACCACCCAGCAGUCUACCUGCGCCCUGACCCACCCAGGUCCAACGUCAACAGGGUAUCCAGUCCGCAAUAAUUCUACACGAUUCUGGAACAAUGUGGAAAGGAGAAAAGAAGAAAAAAACGUGAAUAAUUUAUUAGAUUUUUGAUUAAAGAUCUUUCUAACGAUUUUUUGGACGGUAAAAUGUGAAAUUUUGAUUUAGAAAUGAAAAAAAACGAGUUACGCUUUUAUUGUGCUUAAUAAAUAAAACAUUUGGCGUGUGACUUUUGCGACAACAAGCAGUUGGAUAACAGUUUUUUUUAUUGCUUAGAUGGGUGGACGAGCUCACAGCCCACCUGGUGUUAAGUGGUUACUGGAGCCCAUGGACAUCUACAGCGUAAAUGCGCCACCCACCUUGAGAUAUAAGUUCUAAGAUCUCAGUAUAGUUACAACGGCUGCCCCACCCUUCAAACCGAAACGCAUUACUGCUUCACGGCAGAAAUAGGCAGGGCGGUGGUACCUACCCGCGCGGACUCACAAGAGGUCCUACCACCAGUAAACAAUAAUUUUUACCAAUUUUUUUUUUUAAAUAAAUUAAAUUAAUUGUUGAACAGUUGCCUUAAUCAUUACAGAGGCCAUUUGUACACCACUAUUGUAUUGUAUUGAAUACGGUGUUAAGUUUUUUUUUAUGUAUACUCAGAAUUAAAAAAGUAUUCAUGCCAUUAUAUUGGCAUGAAAUAAAGAAAGAAUGGCCUGGAUCAUUUGGUGCAAUAAUAGUUUGGAGUAAUGGGAAUGCGGCUUAAAAGAUUGAGGUUGCAUAGUAAUUUUAGAGUAAUACUACAGUAAGAAAACUGAUAUAUUUUUAUGAAAAUUUGAUGAACUCUGUUUUGAAAAUAUGACCAAUGUAAAUGAUAACAAACUUCCUUAUUCGAAUUGUAUUUUAGAGCGUUCUGACCGAAGAGUAUUAUCACACUAAAAUAUCGUAUUACACUAUUGGGGCUUAAGAGGUCCAAUUGUAAAUACAAACUAUCAAACAAAUAAAAACUCAUCAAAUCAAAACCAAAAUCAAAAAAAAAAGCCAGCCGUUUAGGAGUUAAAUGACUAACGCAGGUACAGAAAAUUUAUAUUUAUUUAUAGAAAAUUGGGGUACAGGGGGACCAAAGACCGGUACGGUGUGAUUGUGCUCAUGAUUUACGACUCUACGGUCGCAAUCUGUAAAUUUUAUGUUCAUUUUUAUAUUUCAUACACCUUAUUUAGCAAUGAAUCGAUUAUUUGUACACUGUGAGAUAAUGCAAGUUGCCAAGUGAUGAGGUUAAGUAAAGCUUGUAGGCUUCACGUUAAAGGCUCAGGCAGGCUCACAAAAUAUUAAAUGCGAAAUACGAAAUAUCCGAGGCGUAAUUAUUUCUUCUUCUUGCAAUCUGCAAAUUAGGAUUUUACAGUGGUUCCCUUGCGCUGAAUUUUUUUUAAAACAAUUUUAAGUUUCGGAUCUGUCAUUCAUAAUUUUAUAGAAUUAAUAAUGUCAAACAUAAUAUGUAAUAGAAUAUUCUAGAAUUUUAAACUACUUAUGUAAUGAAGACAAAUAAUGUUUUAAUUCAGAGGAGGAAAUUGUGGUAGUUUCUUCAUCUAGAGUUUUGAGAUCCAUUAACGUAUUGUAGUUGUGUUUUUUGAAGUGUAAGUAUGUAAAUUUUCUUAGUUAUUAAUAAUCAUACUAUUGAUUAAUUUUAGUUCUAUCUAGUCGUUAUUGUUUAGUUGAUAAAAAUAUUAAUUAUUAGAGACUAUUAAAUUCUGUUUGGAACAAUA